GAUGAACGCUGGCGGCGUGCCUAAUACAUGCAAGUCGAGCGAACAGAUGAGGAGCUUGCUCCUCUGACGUUAGCGGCGGACGGGUGAGUAACACGUGGAUAACCUACCUAUAAGACUGGGGUAACUUCGGGAAACCGGAGCUAAUACCGGACAAUAUAUUGAACCGCAUGGUUCAAUAGUGAAAGACGGUUUUGCUGUCACUUAUAGAUGGAUCCGCGCCGCAUUAGCUAGUUGGUAAGGUAACGGCAUACCAAGGCAACGAUGCGUAGCCGACCUGAGAGGGGGAUCGGCCACACGGGAUGUGAGACACGGUCGAGACUCUGACGCGAGGCAGCAGUAGGGAAUCUUACGCAAUGGGCGAAAGCCUGAUGGAGCAAAGCCGCGGGAGUGAUGAAGGUGUUCGGAUCGGAAAACGCUGUUAGUAGUGAAGAACAAAAGUGUAAGUAACUAUGCACGUCUUGACGGUACCUAAAGAGAAAGCCACGGCUAACUACGUG
rnacentral:rRNA from 1 species